rnacentral:misc_RNA from 1 species
CAAUCUCAGGAUAUUAUGGCUCAUUUACUAAUAAUAAAUAUAUAUGUUCUCUUACAAUUCAAAGCAAUAGAAGAACGUAUGGACCUUUUGGUACUAUGAGAGGAAUCCCUUUCUCAACACCAUCUUUGCAUGGCAAGAUCAUUGGAUUUCAUGGUUCGGCUUAUGGCUAUCUCACUUCAAUAGGAGUACACGUCAAAGCAAUCUCACCAGUUGUUCUUGGCCCGUUUGGAGGCCAAGGUGGAGAUGCAUGGGAUGAUCAAUUUUACAGCGCAAUAAGACAGAUACAACUAACAAUUUGUGAAUUUGGAAUUGAAUCUGUCCGUUUUGAGUAUGAUAAAAAUGGACAACCUGUAUCGUCUCCAAAACAUGGAUCAAAAGCUCAAGGCAUGUUGAAAAAGGUCAUAUUGGAUUAUCCAGGUGAGUUUCUGAUUUCGGUUUCAGGAACCUACGGCAAGG